UAAACGCCACAAAAUGUAAUGAUCACGGUUUGCAGUUGUCUUACACACAUAAAGUAAUAGCGGGGCUACUUCCCUUUAUGGCGUGGAGUUGAGUGCGUUGAACAAUCUGGUGGGGCUUGGAGGCACCGUGCUGACCGAUCAUCCAGGACUCGGGGAAGAGGGCGGCUGGCUCCGGAUCUCGCCUCCGUGUGUAGAAACCGUUGUCGUCCGUAGUCGGUGCGAGCCUUGAGAGGAGAUCUUGGUUUGUUCUUAUGCCUUUACCCAGCCAAUCCCGUAGGUGGUCAAAUCAGCCCGCAGAUAAGGAACACCUGUAGAGAGAUGUCACACAAACACCGACACAGCAAACAUACAGAACGAUAUCGGCUGUCCCGCCCCCAAACAUGUGUUCAAAUGAAUGACAUUUGCUCCCGUUACAAUUCCCCCCCACAUUAACAGUGGUCGUCCCGAGCACUGCAACAAUGCCUUCAUUGUGUCCAAGUGGCAAUUCCCCCCCUCGUUUACAGUGGUCGUCCCGAGCACUACUGUCUGGUUCAAUCCUCAGGGCGGUACCGUGCUGGAGGUUGACCCCGAUUGUGGCGAGCUGGGUACCUUGGUGGGGUACCCGUUGCAGUUCCUUGAUGGUGUGUAGGGGUUGGGCCAUGGUCUACAGGUACAUUAAGAGGAACUACUAGAUCGUAUACAGGGGCUUCGGGGGCCGGGGCGACUGGAGCAAUGGUAGGAGGUGGCGUUGCUGUGGAGGCCGUUGGCGCUGCGGCCGGUCUCAGCGGUGCGGCUGUGGGUUCCUGCUGCUGUUGUGGCAUCAGUUGGUGGCGUGCCAGUGGGAUGUAUGGCCAAACCGGUUCUGGUUGCCAGGUGUCGUUUCUAUGUGGGUUCGCAGGGGUGUGGUUGGUUGGUGGUGGAUCACCAGGACAGGAUCUCAAGUUGUUACGAUGGAUUUACUUAGGAGGCUCACCUGUUCUGUCAACUCUUGACGCAACUCGGCUCGGAGGGCUUCCUUCAUUUGCUGCCAAUCGGAGGUGACCGUUGAGGGCCUCUUGGAUGUUGUGGCAACAGUUGGGCAAACUUGGGCUUCUUCUGUGUGGCCCAGUUCACGCUCCAAUGCUUUUGCCUCUGCACAGACCUGGACAAACGUAAGCGUUGUGACCCUUCUGAGCUGUCUUUGCAGUUCUUGUUUGGCUAAUCCCUGCCUCAGGCCCAUGGAAAACUGGGUGCGCAGCAGUUCGUCAUCCGAGCCCGCAUCCUGGGGGUCUCUUGCUCUCCACCUGUGAUGCAGCUCCCGCAGCCGAAGAGUGAACGUGCCCACAUCCUCUCCAGGUUCUUGUUUACAGUUAAAGAACUGUACUCGCAGCAGGGCUACUGGUUGCUGGCCCCCAUACAGCCCUGCCAAGGGCGUCCAGAAUCUUUACAUCCGUAUUUCGAUCAGCCUCUGCCAACAGCGCCACCUCCCUUUUUGCAUUCCCUUCCAAUACGCUCAACAAAAAGUCUACCCGCUGUUCGUCAUUUAGCCCCUGGGCCCGAAUAAAAGCCUCAAUUUGGGUUCGCCA
rnacentral:lncRNA from 1 species